CACAAAUAGUUUGUGUAAUAUGUG
rnacentral:siRNA from 1 species